GCUUCUGUAGCACAGCGGUAGUGCAUCCGGAUUACGCAGAGUAGUGGUUUUCCGGAGGACCCCUGUUCGACUCAAGGCGGAGGCA